AUACGGAGGAUCCGAGCGUUAUCCGGAUUUAUUGGGUUUAAAGGGUGCGCAGGCGGGAGAUUAAGUCGGCGGUGAAAUUUUGCAGCUCAACUGUAAAAGUGCCUUCGAAACUGGUUUCCUUGAGUGUAGAUGAAGUAGGCGGAAUUUGUGGUGUAGCGGUGAAAUGCAUAGAUAUCACGAGGAACUCCGAUUGCGCAGGCAGCUUACUAAACUACUACUGACGCUCAGGCACGAAGGCGUUGGGAUCAAACAGGAUUAGAUACCCUGGUAGUCCACGCAGUAAACGAUGAUUACUAGCUGUUUGCGAUACAAUGUAAGCGGCUGAGCGAAAGCGUUAAGUAAUCCACCUGGGGAGUACGUUCGCAAGAAUGAAACUCAAAUGAAUUGACGGGG
rnacentral:rRNA from 1 species